rnacentral:lncRNA from 1 species
AUGAUGCCUUCGAGGUCCGUGCAUGUUGUCCCAAGUGUCCAUAGCAAGCUGGCAAUCUUGGAAAGUAGGUGUGGUCUGCAGAGCUGGCCUCCUUGGCUGGACUCCUGGAUGGAGUCCAAGAACAGCCAGAGGACAUCUAAAUUUGGGGUAAAUCUGAAGCUGUGGUCGCCAAUCCUUGUUUCAGUACUAAUGCUGACCUUCGGAUACCCGCUGCAAAGCCCUGUUGGAGAAAAACACACCUUUUUUUUCCUUGGCAUCGCUAGGUAAGUUCUCCCCUUGCUGGACCCACCCUCCACCCCCUCUCCUGCCUCCUCCAAGGUUUGCUCAUCCUGCCUGCUGACAUCAAGGCCUGGGUAACGCCCUUCCAUCUCACUAAGACUCAGAGUCUCAGUUUGUGAAAUUAGGGAGUGGACUCUGGAAUGAUGCUUCAGGUGUACUCAGAGAUGAGG